AGAGUUUGAUCCUGGCUCAGGACGAACGCUGGCGGCGCGCCUAACACAUGCAAGUCGAACGAGAGAUGAGGAGCUUGCUCUUCAGAUCGAGUGGCGAACGGGUGAGUAACGCGUGAGGAACCUGCCUCAAAGGAGGGGGACAACAGUUGGAAACGACUGCUAAUACCGCAUAAGCCCACGGCUCGGCAUCGAGCAGAGGGAAAAGGAGCAAUCCGCUUUGAGAUGGCCUCGCGUCCGAUUAGCUAGUUGGUGAGGUAACGGCCACCAAGGCGACGAUCGGUAGCCGGACUGAGAGGUUGAACGGCCACAUUGGGACUGAGACACGGCCCAGACUCCUACGGGAGGCA
rnacentral:rRNA from 1 species